UCCCACUUUUAAUCUCCCUCCUGCCCUGGAUUCAUUGACCAUUGCAUCUCCUCCCAGAGGCUGCCCAGGAGAAGGAAGGCCCCUGGUGGCCAUGGAGGACACGGAGAAUCCAACGAAUGAAUCCAGUGGCCUCGUAUUCGCCAACGCUCCAUUGAAACCACAGCUACGCUCCAGGCUGGACACUCCCUGUGGAGCAAGGCUAGAAGCUGAACUGUGCUCAGAUGAUAUCCCGGCAGUGAAAACACCAGAGUGCUAAAUGAAAAAUCUAUGCUCUCCCCACCAACUUCUUCAACUAGUGGGCCGCACAGGCUCCAGCAAGGAUUAAUUUGAACACUGUCAUUUCUUGGCAUCCCAAGCUGAAUUUUCCAGGACACAAAGGCAUGAGGUAUUCCAUCAUCUUGAUAAUUUUUAUAGCCGGUGGGGAGGUAGAAGGGAACAAAUAAUUGGAUGCACCAAGCUAUGGAACAAAUGAAACUAUGAAACGUUCACGAUCAAGUCCUGGAUCAAAGUGACUGGCUCGUAGAUAGGCAAGAAAUUUGGCCUUCUUCAAAAUAAGAAAUGAGGGUGGAGCCUCAAGCAGUGGGUCUAAAAGUGAGUCUUUCACAGGCUUGAGGAAGAAUACAGUGUUUCCCAUUAACCACUCAACACUCAAGAAGAAAUGUCACCUAAGAAACUGACUUUGGGUUACAAACUAGGGGCAAAUACUGGAAGGAAAUAAAUCAAAAUAUGCA